rnacentral:misc_RNA from 1 species
CACCACCCCAUCUCUGACCAUGAGGCCACCCUGAGGUGCUGGGCCCUGGGCUUCUACCCUGCGGAGAUCACGCUGACCUGGCAGCGGGAUGGGGAGGAACAGACCCAGGACACAGAGCUUGUGGAGACCAGGCCUGCAGGGGAUGGAACCUUCCAGAAGUGGGCCGCUGUGGUGGUGCCUUCUGGAGAGGAACAGAGAUACACAUGCCAUGUGCAGCACGAGGGGCUGCCCCAGCCCCUCAUCCUGAGAUGGGAGCAGUCUCCCCAGCCCACCAUCCCCAUCGUGGGCAUCGUUGCUGGCCUUGUUGUCCUUGGAGCUGUGGUCACUGGAGCUGUGGUCGCUGCUGUGAUGUGGAGGAAGAAGAGCUCAG